rnacentral:lncRNA from 1 species
GAUAAUCUGAAAGUAUAGAAUCUGUUGGUAAAGGAGCGUGGCUGUUUCCCUUUUUUUCCUUUCCUCCGAACGAGUUUUAUUUUUUUUCUUGCGUUAUAACACAGUCUCUAGUCCAGUAUAUGGCAGCACAGUCUUUAGUUCAUACACAAUCACUAAUACACCAAGAAAAUAAGAUCGGCAACCUGGGAUUACGUCUUGAAAUUGUCAGUUCGAUGACAAGUUUUUUCUUCUACACUCUCCGACGUUUUUCUUCUCUUCUCCUCGACCUUUCUCCAAGUUCGCUCCUUCUCCGAGUUCGCUCUCUCUCGUGUGCGAUCUUUCUCCACUUCGACCUUUUCGAGUCCGCCCGCCUAUUUCCGUUUUUGACCCAU